rnacentral:rRNA from 1 species
GAUGAACGCUGGCGGCGUGCCUAAUACAUGCAAGUCGAGCGAACGGACGAGAAGCUUGCUUCUCUGAUGUUAGCGGCGGACGGGUGAGUAACACGUGGAUAACCUACCUAUAAGACUGGGAUAACUUCGGGAAACCGUAGCUAAUACCGGAUAAUAUUUUGAACCGCAUGGUUCAAAAGUGAAAGACGGUCUUGCUGUCACUUAUAGAUGGAUCCGCGCUGCAUUAGCUAGUUGGUAAGUUAACGGCUUACCAAGGCAACGAUGCAUAGCCGACCUGAGAGGGUGAUCGGCCACACUGGAACUGAGACACGGUCCAGACUACUACGGGAGGCAGCAGUAGGGAAUCUUCCGCAAUGGGCGAAAGCCUGACGGAGCAACGCCGCGUGAGUGAUGAAGGUCUUCGGAUCGUAAAACUCUGUUAUUAGGGAAGAACAUAUGUGUAAGUAACUGUGCACAUCUUGACGGUACCUAAUCAGAAAGCCACGGCUAACUACGUG